ACGGAAGGCAGCAGUGGGGAAUAUUGGGCAAUGGGCGAAAGCCUGACCCAGCGACGCCGCGUGAGGGAAGAAGGUCUUCGGAUUGUAAACCUUAGUCAACAGGGAAGAAGCAAGUGACGGUACCUGUGGAGGAAGCCACGGCUAACUACGUGCCAGCAGCCGCGGUAAUACGUAGGUGGCGAGCGUUAUCCGGAUUUACUGGGUGUAAAGGGUGUGUAGGCGGGACUGCAAGUCAGAUGUGAAAUAUGCCGGCUCAACUGGCAGACUGCAUUUGAAACUGCGGUUCUUGAGUGAAGUAGAGGUAAGCGGAAUUCCUAGUGUAGCGGUGAAAUGCGUAGAUAUUAGGAGGAACAUCAGUGGCGAAGGCGGCUUACUGGGCUUUAACUGACGCUGAGGCUCGAAAGCGUGGGGAGCAAACAGGAUUAGAUACCCUGGUA
rnacentral:rRNA from 1 species